AGCUUUGCACAGUGCCAGUAUUGUAGUCAAUGAGGUUUAUCCGAGGCGCGAUUAUUGCUAAUUGAAAACUUUUCCCAAUACCCCGCUUUGACGACUUAAAAUACAGUCGGCACUGGCAAUUUUUGACUGUCUCUAUGGAGA
rnacentral:snRNA from 1 species